rnacentral:rRNA from 1 species
UACGUAGGGUGCGAGCGUUGUCCGGAAUUACUGGGCGUAAAGAGCUCGUAGGCGGUUUGUCGCGUCGUCCGUGAAAACUUGGGGCUCAACCCCAAGCUUGCGGGCGAUACGGGCAGACUUGAGUACUGCAGGGGAGACUGGAAUUCCUGGUGUAGCGGUGAAAUGCGCAGAUAUCAGGAGGAACACCGAUGGCGAAGGCAGGUCUCUGGGCAUUAACUGACGCUGAGGAGCGAAAGCAUGGGGAGCGAACAGG